ACAGGCAGAGGGAGGGGCAGACUCCCCACUCCCAGGACCCCCAGAUCAUGAUCUGAGCCGAAGGCAGAGGCUUCACCGGCUGAGCCACCCCGGAGUCCCUGAUUUGAAUUUCCGGAAGGUCACGAUGCCGAACAUCUUCUCAGUUUUAGAACCAGCCUGUCUAUAUCUACAAAGGACUCUGCUGGGAUUUUGAUAGAAAUUUCUAACUGUAGAUCAUUGUGGGAAAGUUGACGUCUUAGCUAUGAUUCCUGAGGAUUUUCUGCACAAUCACAUCUUACUGUGAGUACAGUCCAGCAAAGCUCAGCUCCCCGCAGGCUCCCAGGUCACUGGGCUUCCUCCGAGCUGCUGUCACCCCUAUGACUUCCAUGACAGCCCCUGCCGCUUCUUCUCUUCCGCCAUCCGCAGAGCUCAUGCUCCCCAGGGCUCUGUCCUCAACUGCUCUUCUCUACACGCUAUAACUGACCUUAAGGCUGAAAUAAUCUGGCCUUGUUCAUGCCUGGCUUUGUUGCCACUGUCAGUGCUGAUCGCUUCUAGAUCUGCACAGACUCUGGACUCCAGGCCUGUUAUCUGACCACACUUGGGAAGCCUCCGUUUUGGUAUCCUGUGGACACUGUGAAUGCGACCUGUCCUCAUCUCCUCAAACUUGCCUUUCCUCCUGUGACAGGCAGGAGUAUAAAAUGACCCUCAGUUAGCUUUGCUCUUACAUAAUUUCUUCUGGAGCAUGGGUGGAACCUGUGGUUAGGGUGAGAUACGGCCUCCAUGGUUUUGUUCUGCUAGACGGCAAAAGGAAUGCUCGCGGAUGUGAUCAAGGCUCCUAAGCAGCCAAGUUCCUCAAACGGGAGACUAUGCUGGGUGGGCUUGCCCUAGCCAGUGAGCUCUUAUAAAGGGAGCCCGGGUGCUGGAGCGGAAGUCAGAGACAACUCCUGCUGGUCUGGGAACCAGACAGCCACGUUGUGAAGUCUCGGGGGGCCCGGGGGAAGCAGCCGUGGGUGGUCUCUAGUGGCUGAGAGUGGCCAUGGGCACAUGGCUCCGAAGAAAACGGGAGCCCCGAUCCUAUAAUCACAAGGAAAACACCGAGCUGGCUUGGGAGUUCCAGAAGGGAACCGUGUGCCGCUGACGUCCACACUGGCCUCCUGGCAACCUGAGCAGAGGACCCAGACUUGCUGAGCCUGGACCCCAGACCCGAGGAAACCAAGAUAAUAAGUGUGUGUUGUGUUAAGCCUCGGAGUGUGCGGUAGCGCGUCCCACAGCAGCCGGAAACACACACACCUCCUCUUAGCAUUUGGUCUCCACCAGGUCAGCUGCAGCCUCAUCCUCAUGCCCACGUGGACCAGAUCAUGCGACCUCCGCAGCCCCGUGUGCUCCACCGCUCUGCCUGUGCAUUUGGGCUUUCAGUGACACCCCCCCCCCCCCCCGCCAUGGAACGAACGUCCGGAAACCCCAGACACUGCCCGCCUGCCAUCACCCGCCGGCUCUCUAAAGGCCAGCGAGAGGGUCAGGCUCCUGUGUUGGGUUCAGCUCUCUCCCCGAUCCUGUCGGUGGCCCUCCCUGCACGGCGGAGCACUUGGCAUGGAUCGAACACUCAGUCUUCACCUCGACGCUGUGAGGUAGGUACCCACGGACUUCGUUUUACAGAUGAGGAAACCGAGGCACCAGGAGGACCCUUACUUACCAAAGGUCACACAGCCCCUGGCGCUGACUGCCAAGCCUGUGCCCUUCCCACAGUCCCUCGUGCCGUGGGUGUUCGUCUGUGCCCUCAGACACGCUCCCCCGAGCCCUGCAUGACAUCACCGAAUUCCUUUUUUUAAAAAAGAUUUAUUUAUUUAUUUGAGAGAGAGAGAAAGGACCCAAGCUGGGAAGGGGAGAGGGACAGGCAGACUGCUCUGACGGCGGAGCCCGACACCGGGCUCUAUUGCAGGACCCUGAGAUCAUGACCUGAGCCAAAAUCAAGAGUUGGACACUUAAUCACCUGAGCCACCCAUGUGCCGUUCACUGAAUUCUGUACCUGAGAAGACCCUCGGUCCCACUCAGUGUCCUGCACGGGUCCUGUGCUCCCUCCUCUGCAGGAGUGAGAGGGCCAGAGCGAGACACUUGGGAGGAGUGAUCGCGGUGGGGGCGUAGACCGGGCUUUCACUCAUCAGGUGGGAGCCAGAGAGAACUUCACCAUGAGAAGGUGUCUUGUGCGGAGGGAGUGUGUUUACUUGAGGGUUUCAGCAAGCCUUGUUGGGACCAAACAAAAUGCAAGAAGAGCCGCAGAAGGGACCAUGGACUUGCAGGUGCUCAGAGAGGCCCCUAGUUCGAGGGAUCCCGGGAGGUUCUGGGCUCAAGCUCCAAGAAGCCGUGAGGGUAGGGAGGGAGGAACAUGGGACCCCCCUGCGGGUGGUGCUGGAGUUGGGGGAUGCUGGCUUUCUAUCAGGACGUGAUGGGCAGGAGGAUGAUGGCAUCUCUACCGGUCUUCACCUGCAGCCGGCCUGCCCAGCUGUGGAGACUGAGGAUAGGAUGGCGUUCCAGCUUUAGGGCUACAACACACAGCCUAGGACGCAUCCUGAGAAACCUGGAAUGCAGUGAAUCACCUGAGUUUGUGGUCAGCAUCUCAGAUCUUGCACUGGCAGCAGACGGGGACACAGCAGCUGGACUGGGAGCAGCAGGGCUUGCAGCAGCUGGACUGGG